rnacentral:rRNA from 1 species
UACAGAGGGUGCGAGCGUUGUCCGGAAUCACUGGGCGUAAAGGGCGCGUAGGCGGCCUGAUAAGUCGGGGGUGAAAUCCUGUGGCUCAACCACAGGGCUGCCUCCGGGACUGUCGGGCUCGAGCACAGUAGAGGCAGGUGGAAUUCCCGGUGUAGCGGUGAAAUGCGCAGAUAUCAGGAGGAACACCGAUGGCGAAGGCAGGUCUCUGGGCCACUACUGACGCUGAGAAGCGAAAGCGUGGGGAGCGAACAGG